rnacentral:rRNA from 1 species
AGUGAGCGUUGGCGGCGUGGAUUAGGCAUGCAAGUCGAGCGAGAACCGUAGCAAUACGGGGACAGCGGCGAAGGGGACAGUAAUGUGUAGGUACCUACCUCCGGGUUCGGGAUAGCUGCGGGAAACUGCAGGUAAUACCGAAUAACGUCUCCGGACCAAAGGUGUGAUUCCACCUGGAGAGGGGCCUGCAUCCUAUUAGCUUGUUGGCGGGGUAACGGCCCACCAAGGCGACGAUGGGUAGCGGGUGUGAGAGCACGACCCGCGUCAUUGGGACUGAGACACGGCCCAGACACCUACGGGUGGCUGCAGUCGUGAAUCUUCGGCAAUGGGCGCAAGCCUGACCGAGCGACGCCGCGUGCGGGAUGAAGGCCUUCGGGUUGUAAACCGCUGUCGUAGAGGAGGAAAUGCAGGGGGGUUCUCCCCUCUGUUUGACCUAUUCUAGGAGGAAGUACGGGCUAAGUUCGUGCCAGCAGCCGCGGUAA